GACUCUCGGCAACGGAUAUCUCGGCUCUCGCAUCGAUGAAGAACGUAGCGAAAUGCGAUACCUGGUGUGAAUUGCAGAAUCCCGCGAACCAUCGAGUCUUUGAACGCAAGUUGCGCCCG
rnacentral:rRNA from 1 species